CAGAACCUGCCAGGCAUCUCGUUUUUUGCUUACGGCAAGAGUCGCACGCUUCAAGAGCACGUUUCCUUUUAAAUGUUAAUAGAGACGAGGAUGACUGACGCGUCCGUUCCACUUCGCCCAUUCUUUCCUACUUGAAAUUUCUCCACCAUGUAGGUAAUAGAAGGAAUUUAUAUCAGACAACGACUCUCGCUCAAUAAAUAUAUAGGUUUCCUUAACAAUGGUUAUCUAUUCUGGUCUCCGGGCAAAAGCACCUUGGAGCAACUAUUAGCGUAAUUACGGUUAAAAUCAGUAGAGCUCGCUAGAGAAACCUGGUAGUAUCAAUAAAUUUGUGGGUUGGACUCAUACCUCCGUAAUAUUGAUAAGGUGCUUACUCGGAUUUUCGUCUGCCGAAAGAAGUCUAUCUGAUACUGUUGGCGUAAGAACAGGGACGGGUUUACGACACGGACAGUUAAAAAAAAGAGAUUCGGAGCGAUGCGAAAUUUUGCGAUGGUAAACAAAGCGAUAGCGGUUGUUGAAUCCUUUAUUAUUGAUGAGUCAUUUGUUGAAAAGUAAUCGAUGCUAUACUCGCUGAUACAUAUUGAAGGGUAAGUGAUGACUAAAACGAAUAUGUUGGAAAAAAAUGCAAUACAGCAAGUUUAUGUUUGCAUACUCGUUUGAAACGGAACGGGCGAACAAUGCUUUCUGAGUUGGCUUGUUUUAUGUCAGGAGGUGUAGUUGAGUAAGUAAUUGUAGUGUUUCAGUGUAUCCCCUCAAAACACCUGGCAAAAAAAAAAAAAAAAAAAAAAAAAAAACAUAUCGGUGAUCACCACUUACAUCAGUAUCCAACACUGCCGACAGAUAUUUGCAAUAAAAGAAUUUGUGAGUUUCAGCAAUGUUGAAUUAAUUUAAGAACAAGAUUACAUAAAGCUUUUCUCACUAAUUUUUAUUAAUCGUUAAAAUUGUAAAGCUUUUGCAUUUGCUGGUCAUUGAACACACCAUCACUCUUGUAUCGCCAAGCUAACUUUUUCGCAAAAGAAUCUUAAUAUUAAAAAAGAGAUUUUUAAACUUAGUAUAAAGUAGGGAUAACUCAUCAUCAAAGACAUAUAUACGUAGUACUACGAAUACAUCUAA